AGGUUGAGAAUCACUGGCUUAGAGGCUGGCCAAAGCCAGCAAAUGUCAACCCCGUCAUUCACUACAACCCGCCGGCGCUGCGAUCCCGUCCGCGCCGUCUAUUCCUCUAACGAA